GUAGGGAAUAUUGGGCAAUGGAGGCAACUCUGACCCAGCCAUGCCGCGUGCAGGAUGAAGGCGCUCAGCGUUGUAAACUGCUUUUAUCUGGGAAGAACUGCAGGGUUGUGAUCUUGCUUGACGGUACCAGAGGAAUAAGCACCGGCUAACUCCGUGCCAGCAGCCGCGGUAAUACGGAGGGUGCAAGCGUUGUCCGGAUUUAUUGGGUUUAAAGGGUGCGUAGGUGGCCUUCUAAGUCUGGUUUGAAAGUAGGUCGCUUAACGAUCUAAUGUGGCUGGAAACUGGGGGGCUUGAAUGCGUUGGCGGUAGCCGGAACGGGUCAUGUAGCGGUGAAAUGCAUAGAUAUGACCCAGAACACCGAUUGCGAAGGCAGGCUACUACGACGUGAUUGACACUGAGGCACGAGAGCAUGGGUAGCGAACAGG
rnacentral:rRNA from 1 species